UGCAGGUGAGAACUCGGGAUCUACCUUUCAUACGUCAUCAUCAGCUGAAAAAGAAGACAUGCAGGAUGCCAUUGAAUAUUGUGGGGUGUGGGUUGAGAAGGAAAAAGCAAACAAAGAUGUUCAAAAGUGCAGGCGGUGGCAAAACAGCAAUGUCUGGACAAAUUAAAUACACCACCAGGCAACAUCACUAAUCGGCAAAUGAAACAAAAGAUUACUGUAAGGAAGAAUGACUGUUUGAAAAUGGAGAAUGAAAACACGAUAGAAGAAAAAGACAAAAAGAUUUUUUCAUCUGGGGAGAGCUCAAAAUUGAUUAAAAUGCCAAUGAAAUGACCUGCAGCAACAACCAGGAGUGAAAAGAACAAGAGGCUGUGGAUGCCCGGUGCAGCUGUCUCCGGUGGAGCGACCAGCACUCGGGGGAUGCAGGCUGCUCCUGCCCACGCCUUCCCCAGG